rnacentral:rRNA from 1 species
CGUACACUCCUGCGGGAGGCAGCAGUGGGGAAUCUUGCGCAAUGGGCGAAAGCCUGACGCAGCCAUGCCGCGUGAAUGAUGAAGGUCUUAGGAUUGUAAAAUUCUUUCACCGGGGACGAUAAUGACGGUACCCGGAGAAGAAGCCCCGGCUAACUUCGUGCCAGCAGCCGCGGUAAUACGAAGGGGGCUAGCGUUGCUCGGAAUUACUGGGCGUAAAGGGAGCGUAGGCGGACAUUUAAGUCAGGGGUGAAAUCCCGGGGCUCAACCUCGGAAUUGCCUUUGAUACUGGGUGUCUUGAGUAUGAGAGAGGUGUGUGGAACUCCGAGUGUAGAGGUGAAAUUCGUAGAUAUUCGGAAGAACACCAGUGGCGAAGGCGACACACUGGCUCAUUACUGACGCUGAGGCUCGAAAGCGUGGGGAGCAAACAGGAUUAGAUACCCUUGUAGUCCCAUGAU